GGGUUUGUGUUCAUCGGCAAAAUUGGAGCAUUUCAAGGUAUUUUCUCACUUGGUCACAGUUAUGAAAAGUGGUUAGAAUGUUGAGAUGAUUCUGUGGUUGAAAUUUGGUGGCCGGAGGAGGAGUUGGGUGCCGCAUGAACAGUGUAGCCGUAUGAAUAGUGCGACGGUGAAUAGUGCGGUUUUGUAAAUGUGAUUUUUGGAGUGAUUUGAUAUGGAUUAGGAAUUUCUGAACUUUAGUGAGACGGGUGUCGAUUAUGGGAAUCCGACCUUCGUAUUUUUCCCUUGUUUCCGCUUUGGAAUACUUAAUCGAUAAAUUGGUAAUGGUGGUAAAGUUUGGAUUGAAUCCAAGAAGAAGUGGAUAGGUGAUUUAUGAGGAUAUGAUGUGGGAAUGGUAUUUAAUUUCCGAUG
rnacentral:lncRNA from 1 species